UUUAUAUAUUUUGUUCAUGGAGAGUAUAAUGAAGACUGAAGACUGAAAAGUGAAUAGUGAAUGUUGAGAGACAAACUUUUGCGCGGAAUUAACAAAGACCAAUCUAAGGAGUUUUAGAUUCAAUCUUGAAUCAAGAGUCGUCGUCAGUAUUAGAGACUUCCCUUCUCAAGGAAAAGAAAAAAUCAGAUUGACGCCUGAGCCUGAUGAUGGUGAUGUAUGGGUGUGUUAUGAAGGCCAGGAGGAUUCUUGCUCGAAAUAUAUGGAACUAAA